CACCAGCGCCACGAGUGGCAACCGCGAUUAUUGGGCCUAAAGCGUCCGUAGUCUGCCAAGUGCAUCUUCUGUGAAAUCGCUGCGCUCAACGUAGCGGCAUGCGGAAGACACGACUUGGCUUGAGACCGGAAGGCGUGAAGAGUAUUCCUGGGGGACCGGUAGAAUGGUAUAAUCCCAGGAGGACUACCUGUGGCGAAGGCGCUUCACGAGUACGGAUCUGACGAUGAGGGACGAAAGCCAGGGGAGCAAACCGG
rnacentral:rRNA from 1 species